UGGGGAAUAUUGCACAAUGGGGGGAAACCCUGAUGCAGCGACGCCGCGUGAGUGAAGAAGUAUUUCGGUAUGUAAAGCUCUAUCAGCAGGGAAGAAAAAUGACGGUACCUGAGUAAGAAGCCCCGGCUAACUACGUGCCAGCAGCCGCGGUAAUACGUAGGGGGCAAGCGUUAUCCGGAUUUACUGGGUGUAAAGGGAGCGUAGACGGCGAGACAAGUCUGAAGUGAAAACCCGGGGCUCAACCCUGGGACUGCUUUGGAAACUGCCUGGCUGGAGUGCAGGAGAGGUAAGUGGAAUUCCUAGUGUAGCGGUGAAAUGCGUAGAUAUUAGGAGGAACACCAGUGGCGAAGGCGGCUUACUGGACUGUAACUGACGUUGAGGCUCGAAAGCGUGGGGAGC
rnacentral:rRNA from 1 species